AGCGAACGCUGGCGGCAGGCUUAACACAUGCAAGUCGAGCGCCCCGCAAGGGGUGCGGCAGCCGGGUGAGUAACACGUGGGAACGUACCCUUUGGUUCGGAACAACCCAGGGAAACUUGGGCUAAUACCGGAUAAGUCCGCGCGGAGAAAGAUUUAUCGCCGAAGGAGCGGCCGGCGUCUGAUUAGCUUGUUGGUGUGGUAACGGCGCACCAAGGCGACGAUCAGUAGCUGGUCUGUGAGGAUGAGCAGCCACACUGGCACUGAGACACAGCCCAGACUCCUACGGGAGGCAGCAGUGGGUAAUGUUGCACCAUGGGGGCAAUCCUGAUCCAGCCAGGUCGCGAGAGUGAUGAAGGUCGGAGGGUAGUAAAGCGCUGUCGGUGGAGAAGAUAAUGACGGUACCCACAGAAGAAGCCACGGCUAACUUCGUG
rnacentral:rRNA from 1 species